UUGAGCCGUGUGCUAGGGAACUAGCACGCACGGAUCUUAGAGGGGGAAAGCUUGUAAAAGCCUACCUAUCUCAAU
rnacentral:ncRNA from 1 species